ensembl:lncRNA
CGGUGCUUGGCCCCUAAAUAUAGCUGCAAGCAGCAAUUACGGGGCCAAGCACUCCAGCGGCAAAUUGAGGAGCUAAGCAUGGCAUGGAGCAUCACACCAAAUGCAACAAUGAGCAAUUACAGCAUUUUUAGGAUGAUUGUAAUUGAAAUGGUGGAAAAAUCAUAAAUAUAAGCACUAGUAUUAUGAUUAAAUGGCUUAUCACUUUUGACCAACAGGUGGCGCUGUAAUCAAAUCAUUUUGGUGUUUUCUGUGUGAGGUGAGAAUGGCACACACAAAGUUUGGUGUCAGUAUGCCAAAGCAUUGCAGAGAUACAGGCUGAAGUGUCAUUUUGGCAUCAUGCCUGAAAUUUGUCGCUGUAGUAUGCGAAAACAGUUUUGUCUAUCGAUACAAAAUCCAUAACAUUUUGUCAGCACAGUCUGAAGAUCAUCUGAUUCAAUUUUGGUGAAAAUCGGACCAACGGUUGAUGAGGAGUUCGAAAAAGUAGGUUUUCAACAUAAAUCAAAAUGGCGGACAGGAAGUUCAGCGUACUCUGGCAUAUUUGGUAUCUAUGUUGUCGGCAUAAGCCAAGGACUAUUUUGAUACCAGUUUCAUUGCAAUAGGCUAAUGCAAUAAAAAGUUAUUAGCAUUUUUAUAUAUGUAAUUAUUAAUGGUUAAUGAAUGGUUUAUUACUCUUGACCAAUAAGUGGCGCUGUUACCAAAUUGAUGUGGCAUGGUCAGUGUGAGGUGACAAUGGCACCUACAAAGUUUGGUGCAAAAAUGUCAAAGCUUUGCCGAGAUACAGCCUCAGAUGUGUUUUGGCAUCUUACGAACAAAUUCGUUGAUGCGCUAAACGAAAACCGUUUUGUAUAUCAACACGAAUUCCAUAACUUUUUGUCAGCUUGGUCUGAAGAUGAUCCGAACCAAAUUUGGUGAAAAUCGGACUAACGGUCUAGGAGGAGUUCGAAAAAGUAGGUUUUCAACAUGAAUCAAAAUGGCGGACAGGAA